rnacentral:rRNA from 1 species
UACGGAGGGUCCAAGUGUUAUCCGGAAUCAUUGGGUUUAAAGGGUCCGUAGGCGGUUUUGUAAGUCAGUGGUGAAAGCCCAUCGCUCAACGGUGGAACGGCCAUUGAUACUGCAAGACUUGAAUUAUUGUGAAGUAACUAGAAUAUGUAGUGUAGCGGUGAAAUGCUUAGAGAUUACAUGGAAUACCAAUUGCGAAGGCAGGUUACUAACAAUAUAUUGACGCUGAUGGACGAAAGCGUGGGUAGCGAACAGG